rnacentral:rRNA from 1 species
UACGGGGGGGGCAAGCGUUGUUCGGAAUUACUGGGCGUAAAGGGCUCGUAGGCGGCCAACUAAGUCGGAUGUGAAAUCCCCAGGCUCAACCUGGGAACUGCAUCCGAUACUGGAUGGCUUGAAUCCGGGAGAGGGAUGCGGAAUUCCAGGUGUAGCGGUGAAAUGCGUAGAUAUCUGGAGGAAUACCGGUGGCGAAGGCGGCAUCCUGGACCGGCAUUGACGCUGAGGAGCGAAAGCCAGGGGAGCAAACGGG